CUCUCUCUGCUCCUGUGCCGCACACCAUUUAGAUAGCAUUGGCUCGCCGCAGAGACGUCGCCAGCUCGCCACCAUGAGCUACAGAGGUGGGGGGAGCAGCGAAGGGGCCGAGCGCUGUCGUAUGUCAUGCGGCGGCCACACCGCAGGUAGCCACUAACGGAAACUACGCGCACGCACGCACCGGUCGCCGUCGUGCCGCGAGCUUCGCCUGGCUGUGCACUGCCGCAACCACACGUGAGUUCUUCCGAAACGCACCGCCCACAGUCGACCUGCGAGCCACACAUGCACCGCCACGAAGCGCUGCUUGAUCCCCUCCAUGGACUCGUGCUCGCCAUCGCAGUCCGUCGCCCCGGCCACGAAGAGGGCCAAGAUCCAUGGAGCUGCUCGUGGGGUGAGCAUAUCGUCCUCGUGCUCCUCAAUUCUGCUGGGGUAUCGUUUGGGCUGGGUGGCAGAGAUGGCGAAUUCCUCCUCGGGUGUCUCAGGGUGGUACACCUCCUAUAUUUUGAGAAAUAAAACUUAUGGUUAUAUGAUAUCAUCUAAGGUGAAACGUUGAAAGGGCUCUUGGAUUGUAUGCCUCGCUCAGGUUGGUGCGGUCUUAUAUUUCAAGAAAUAAAAUCUUGUGGUUAUAUGCUAUCAGUUAAUGUGAACCCGUGAAAGGCCGCUUGAAUUGUAUGCCUCGCUCAGUUGUCAACAAAAUACAGCCAGUAGAGAAGUUAGAAGGAUUUUGAGCUCUAAAGUCCAGGUAUCAAUCCACUUGACUGCACCGAUCUCUGGCCAUUUAAUUCAUGAAUCAACGGAUUUAUCUAUAAGAGAGUAAUUGUCUAUAAGAUAGAACUUGCUUGCAUGCAUUUCAUAGAUAAUAAAUCUGUAAAGAGAAGUUAGGAGGUAACAUACAUAUCUGAAUAUUUACACUUCAUAUACAGACCCAAUACAUCUUCAAUUCAGAGGUAGGAUAGAGGACUGUUUGGUCAGAUCUCCAUAGCUGCAAAAAUCUUCAAUAAUCUGUGAACUCCGUCAGACAGUAAUAUUAAAAAUUCCUUGUUUUAUUGAUAUAUUCACAUCUAGAUAAAGGAGGUACAUGUCCAUAGGGGAGGAAAAGCAGCCAUUAAUUGUGCUAAAGUGGCCUCAGUCCAAAGACACUCCCUAAAGUAAAAUUUAGAGCACAAACUGAUGAAGUCUCUCUGAAGUAAAUUCUAAAAUACAUAAAAUGGCACGGGAAGUGUGGAGCCCUUCCAUCUUAUUUAGAUGAUCUCCAGAAGAGUAGUGUUUUUGUCCUCUUGUGGGUAUUUAAAUUACAAUUACCCUAAAAAGUGAAGUUAACUCGUGAAUAUGUGCUUUAAGCAGAUCCAACUUCAUUAGUUUUGAAAAUAAAACAAUUCUCUUCAAUGAUAUAACUUUAUACUUCAUAUUUGUUCAGACAUUGUCAAUUCAAUUUUUUGGUACGCGAUACAGCUAAAAAAAGUGGUAGUUGACAAAUGAAUGCCCAUCGGAUGGUACCACUUUGAUACAGUGCAUCCAGCGUUGUAGGCCUAAAAAAAUGCCCCUUCGCCAAGCUUCACUGUGAUGCCUAACUAACUACUCCCUCCGUUUCAUAUUUGUUAAUUGAUAAACUGAUUUCUUCCAGCUGCCCAAAAAACAGAGUACCAAUACACAUGAAGGUUGUUUAGUUGUUAAGGCAACUUUACAAAUCAUUUGGGAAUGGACUAAACACAUAUACACCAGUUGAAUGCAAAGAAAAGAAAUCAUUUAUCUACUAAUACUCCACUAAAUGAACUCCAGCAAUUCACAUCUCUAGUAUUGUAUUAUACAUGUCAAAGAAUGACAAACAGUACUUAUUCCUCCCUCGAAGUUGUCAAGGAAAUACAACCAGUAGAGAACCUGGAAGGAUAGUGAGCUCUAAACUCCAGAUAUCUAAGGGGGUAAUUGUAGAUAAGAUAGGACUUGCUUGGAUGCAUUUCAUAGAUAAUAAAUCUGUAAAGAGUGGUUAGGAGGUAAUCCCUUUGUAAACUAAUAUAAGACCGUUUAGAUCACAACUUUAGUGAUCUAAAGUAGUAGUCUAAACGGUCCUAUAUUAGUUUACAAAAGGGGUAACAUACAUAUCUGAACAUUUACACUUCUUAUCUUCAAUUCAGAGAUAAGACCGAAUAGUCUCUGGUCAGAUUUCCAUAGCCGCAAAAAGCUUCAAUAAUCUGUGAACUAUGUAAGACAGUAAUAUUAGAAACCCCUUAUUCUAUUGAUGUAUUCACAUCAAAAGAAAGGAGAUACAUGUCAACAGGGGGAAAAACCAACCAUCAGUUGUGCUAAUGUUACCACUCCAGAGUGGCCUUAGUCCAAAGACACCACCUGGAUUAAAUUUUAGAACACAAUAAGUUUCGGUUAACUGGUGAACGCUCUCUGAAGUGCAAUUUAAAACAUAUAAAAUGGCACGGGAAGUGUGGAGCCCAUCCAGCUGACUGAGAUCAUCUUGAGAAGAGUGGUGUUUUUGCCCUCUUAUGGAGAUUUGAAAGAGCAAUUACCCCAAAAAAGUGUAGUUAACUGAUGAAUACGUGUUGUAAGCAGGCCCAAGUUCAUUAGUUUUGGAAAUCAAAAAAUUCCUUUCAUAAUAUAAUUUUAUACUUCAUAUUUGUUCAGACAUUGCAAAUUUAUUUUUUGGUAUAAAGUAGAACUAAAAAGAACUGUUGAUACAUCAUACAUGUAUGCAUGAUAUUAUAAAGCAUCGAUAGAUUUUUUUUUAUUUAUUUAAAUGCUCACUCUUGUGAAUUUAGUAGCAGUUUAGUACGAAGUCCUGGAUCGCUAGCUGAUGGUGAUGAAACACAGCUAUUACUAUUGAGCUGCCCAGACAGAAGCAGUCCCGCUUCAGAUAUAGUCACACUAUGUAUGGGACACUUCAUAGAGAGAGAGAGAGAGACCCACCAGGUCACCACCAUGCAGCAGCACUGAACUACUCCUGUGAAAGUAGGUGAUGCAGCAGCAUGCAGGCCGGGAAACGGAAGACAGCAUGGAGGAAGCACACGAAGAAGACGACCCACACGCACGACGGACAGACCGACAAGACGGACGACGAUGAGCAAACGCAGCACUAUCCGGCGAAUCAGUAGAACCAGCACCAUGCCCUGAGCCACCGCGACGACCAACCGAAAGAGCACGGGAGCCACGAGGACGCCCAGGACGGCGCAAACCAUCACGACUGCAUGAAGGAGCAACCAUCGAGCAAUAGGAGAGAAAUGAGAGCACACGCACGACCAGAAGAGAAAAGCCAGCCCAUAUAUAGCACCUCACCAUGCUAGACAACUCUAGAACCCACGAGUACAUCAACACCGACGGAAAGCGACGCACACGAUGUAGAAAUACCAGACAAAGCGGCAGGGAUACGUCAGUUUGUACGGUGAAAACGACGGAACGAACGCCGCAUGAAAUAUCCGGACGGCGCAACCGCACCGCCUCGACCGAUUAGCUUUGCCUGUCACGUCACCGCCAUCGCUGCAUGGAUCAGCGCACAAAUCUUGUCGCUUUACUCCUGGAAGCAAACGCAACUCUCGCAGGCAGUUCCGAUUGGUGGACUGCGUCGUUCGACCGAUCCCGAUGCAUGGCACCGCCCGACAUGCAUCUGGAACCAAGUGCCAGUCAACUGUGCAGCCCAGAUUCAUCACAUAACUACGGCCGACACCUUUUGUCGCCUGACAGCUGCAAUCAAGUGCAAUCAAAUGGCCAAUUCCAAUUGGUCCGCUUGCUACCACGCGGCCUCACCCAAUUAGUCUGCAUGCAUGCAACAACUCGAUUAAUCAGCUAAUCUAUCUCUUCUUUUUGCCUUGAAUUUUCUACAGUUUAUAUUCAUGAGUAUUUUAUAGUCGUUU